rfam:Loxodonta africana unplaced genomic scaffold scaffold_3, whole genome shotgun sequence.
CCAACGGAUUUAUUAAAAUCUAUUACAGACAAAAAAAAAAAAAAAUU